UACGUUCCCGGGCCUUGUACACACCGCCCGUCACACCACCCGAGUUGGGGAUACCCGAAACCGCUAGACUAACCUGCAAGGGGGGGUCGGCGUCUAAGGAAUGCCUGGUGGAGGGGGGUG
rnacentral:rRNA from 1 species